rnacentral:rRNA from 1 species
GACGAACGCUGGCGGCGCGCUUAACACAUGCAAGUCGAACGGAAAGGCCUGCUUUCCCUUGUGGAUUGCGGGUACUCGCGUGGCGAACGGGUGAGUAACACGUGAGUGAUCUGCCCCCAACUUGGGUAUAAGCCUGGGAAACUGGGUCUAAUUCCCGAUAGGACUGCAGGGUGGUGCCUGUGGUGGAAAACGAUUUUCUAGUGGUUGGGGAUGAGCUCGCGGCCUAUCAGCUUGUUGGUGGGGUAAUGGCCUACCAAGGCGGCGACGGGUAGCCGGCCUGGGAGGGUGGACGGGCACAUUGGGACUGAGAUACGGCCCAGACUCCUACGGGAGGCAGCAGUGGGGAAUAUUGCACAAUGGGCGGAAGCCUGAUGCAGCGACGCCGCGUGGGGGAUGACGGCCUUCGGGUUGUAAACUCCUUUCGACCGAGAGGAAGCCACCUGGUUGGAAGGGUGGUGACGGUAGUGGUAGAAGAAGCACCGGCUAACUACGUG